rnacentral:rRNA from 1 species
CCUACGGGGGGCAGCAGUGGGGAAUAUUGGGCAAUGGGCGAAAGCCUGACCCAGCAACGCCGCGUGAAGGAAGAAGGCUUUCGGGUUGUAAACUUCUUUUGACAGGGAAGAGCAGAAGACGGUACCUGUCGAAUAAGCCACGGCUAACUACGUGCCAGCAGCCGCGGUAAUACGUAGGUGGCAAGCGUUAUCCGGAUUUACUGGGUGUAAAGGGCGUGUAGGCGGGACUGCAAGUCAGAUGUGAAAAUUAUGGGCUCAACCCAUAACCUGCAUUUGAAACUGUAGUUCUUGAGUGAUGGAGAGGG